rnacentral:rRNA from 1 species
AGUGAACGCUGGCGGUAGGCCUAACACAUGCAAGUCGAACGGCAGCACAGUAAGAGCUUGCUCUUACGGGUGGCGAGUGGCGGACGGGUGAGGAAUACAUCGGAAUCUACUUUUUCGUGGGGGAUAACGUAGGGAAACUUACGCUAAUACCGCAUACGACCUACGGGUGAAAGCAGAGGAUCUUCGGACCUUGCGCGAUUGAAUGAGCCGAUGUCGGAUUAGCUAGUUGGCGGGGUAAAGGCCCACCAAGGCGACGAUCCGUAGCUGGUCUGAGAGGAUGAUCAGCCACACUGGAACUGAGACACGGUCCAGACUCCUACGGGAGGCAGCAGUGGGGAAUCUUGGGCAAUGGGCGAAAGCCUGAUCCAGCCAUACCGCGUGAGUGAAGAAGGCCUUCGGGUUGUAAAGCCCUUUUGUUGGGAAAGAAAAGCAGCAGGUUAAUACCCCGCUGUUCUGACGGUACCCAAAGAAUAAGCACCGGCUAACUUCGUG